AAAAGCUGACAAUGCCCAGCACCAUUCAGCAGUAAGCAUUCAAAUGGAUUUUUCCUCACCGCGUUUGCAGGCCCGGCACAGUCUCAGUUCCCCACAGCACAGAGAGGAAGCAAGGUCUUUGCAUGCCCUGUUCACUUGGCCAAACAUUGCCCUAGAUGUGCAAUUCAACCCAUAUAAAGCAAGCGUAAUUCAAGAGCCCUGACUCUUUCACCAUUUCAUGAUGGCUUAUUACUCGCACACGGCAUUGUCAGGUUCCAGCAACUCUGUGUGCAGCAGGCAGAAAUGCAGUGUUUAUCUCUGACAGGCAAACAUUCUUAGGCUCAUCGGCAUGAGUAUCCACGCUGAACUGGCUAUCGGGGAAGUAGAUCCCUGCAUGGGAAAGUCAAGGGCCAUCUGCCCAUCUGAAACUGUCUUUGGCUGCAUGGUUGUGAAUCCAGGUGACAGUGAAAAUGAAGAAGUGGUGAUUGUCCCUGCAUGUUUUCUCUGAAGGGUUAACUAAAAAAAAAAAAAAAAAAAGCCUUUGUGUCUGUUUCGAGUUCUCCAGUUGAAAUACUGUACUCAUUGAACUGCAAGAAAUAAAACCUGCAAGUAGGCA
rnacentral:lncRNA from 1 species